CCUACGGGGGGCUGCAGUGGGGAAUAUUGCACAAUGGGCGAAAGCCUGAUGCAGCAACGCCGCGUGAACGAUGAAGGUCUUCGGAUCGUAAAGUUCUGUCGCAGGGGAAGAUAAUGACGGUACCCUGUGAGGAAGCACCGGCUAACUACGUGCCAGCAGCCGCGGUAAUACGUAGGGUGCUAGCGUUAUCCGGAUUUACUGGGCGUAAAGGGUGCGUAGGUGGUCUUUCAAGUCGGUGGUUAAAGGCUACGGCUCAACCGUAUUAAGCCGCCGAAACUGGAAGACUUGAGUGCAGGAGAGGAAAGUGGAAUUCUCAGUGUAGCGGUGAAAUGCGUAGAUAUUGAGAAGAACACCAGUAGCGAAGGCGGCUUUCUGGACUGUAACUGACACUGAGGCACGAAAGCGUGGGUAGCAAACAGGAUUAGAUACCCCGGUAGUC
rnacentral:rRNA from 1 species